rnacentral:rRNA from 1 species
GCCUACGGGAGGCAGCAGUAGGGAAUUUUCGUCAAUGGGCGCAAGCCUGAACGAGCAAUGCCGCGUGAACGAGGAAGGUCUUCGGAUCGUAAAGUUCUGUUGAAGGGGAAAAAGAGCGGAGAGAGGAAAUGGUCUCCGAUUGAUAUUACCCUUCGAGGAAGUCACGGCUAACUACGUGCCAGCAGCCGCGGUAAUACGUAGGUGGCGAGCGUUAUCCGGAUUUAUUGGGUUUAAAGGGUGCGUAGGCGGUCCGUUAAGUC